rnacentral:rRNA from 1 species
UACGUAGGCAGCGAGCGUUGUUCGGAAUUACUGGGCGUAAAGAGUGCGUAGGCGGUUCAGCAAGUUCGGUGUGAAAUCUCCCGGCUUAACUGGGAGGGUGCGCCGGAAACUGCUGGACUAGAGUGUGGGAGAGGAAAGUGGAAUUCCUGGUGUAGCGGUGAAAUGCGUAGAUAUCAGGAGGAACACCUGCGGUGUAGACGGCUUUCUGGACCACUACUGACGCUGAGGCACGAAAGCGUGGGGAGCAAACAGG